CUGUUAAUUUUGUUCUCCCUCAGUCUCUUCGAACUCCUCCUUUGAGCACAGAUUUCCAGAUGGUCCCGUUUUAUGACCCCGACAAACUGGAUGGAUAUUUCAAUCCAUGUAGUAAUCACAUUGAAGAACAGAAGAGCGCUGAGACCAUCUUGAGUUGCC